GGACUACCGGGGUUUCUAAUCCUGUUUGCUCCCCUAGCUUUCGUGCCUCAGUGUCAGGGGUUGUCCAGGGACUCGCUUUCGCCACUGGUGUUCCUCUCGAUAUCUACGCAUUUCACUGCUACACCGAGAAUUCCAGUCCCCCCUCCAACCCUCGAGCCGGAUAGUAUUCAAUGCGGUUUCCGAGUUGAGCUCGGAGAUUUCACAUCAAACUUACCCGGCCACCUACGCACCCUUUACGCCCAGUGAAUCCGAACAACGCUUGGGACCUCUGUAUUACCGCGGCUGCUGGCAC
rnacentral:rRNA from 2 species